rnacentral:lncRNA from 1 species
AGUGUUUUACAUGCAUUAUUUCUCUUCAUCCUCAUUGUAACUAGAAGAGGUAGAUACUAUUAUUAUUGCAUCUUUAGAGAUUACAAAUUCGAGGUUGAUAGAGGCUUACAGCAGAUUUAUAAUGUCUAAGGCUGCGUGGCUAGUGGGUAUUUGGGAUAAGACUCAAACUCAGUUCUGUCUGACUUCAGAGUCUGUUGCGGGUUGGGUUCCCCGGGAAUCAGACUCCAACAUGGAGAUGUGCAGGCAGGAAUUUCAUGCAGAGCGCUCCCAGGAUCACGCAUAGAAGGGAGAAGUCAGACUGCAAUGCCACCUCAACAGAGGCCUCCGCUCAUGCAAGAGGGAAGUAUGGAGCUGCGGUCGCAAAAAGGCUGGACCUUGGGACUCCCUCUUCACCCAGUCAUUGGAUGCAGAACUUGGGCUAGGUUGCGCUCUUCAGCCAGGGGGAGGCCCCCAGAGGACAGCUGAGAGCUGUUGGCAGCCAACGCUUCCAGCAACUGGGAGAACAAGUGCCUGAGUCCUGGAGUAGGGGUCAGGGUGGCAUGCCACAGUAUCCACUACAGAGCCCGUGCACCUAUCCCACCUGCACUCCAGCUCAAAUAAGGGAACAGCUGAGAACGUGCCGUGGCCUAAGGAAGAGGAGAGAUACAUACUGCAGACCUUGACGCAGCCUGCAGCUUGGAGCCAAGACCAGCCAAGCCCCUCUGGGCCCAGCCUAGAUCAGCCCACCUACAGAAGCAUAUGUGACAAUAAAUGAUUGUUGUUUUAUACCACCGAGUUUUGGGGUGGCUGGUUAUGCAGCAAGAGCUGACUGACACACAUUUACAAAGUUGUAGAGGAUAAUCCACGUGGAUGUGUCACGCAUAAUUUCUACUGAUUAUGGUUUUUCCUUAGGAACUGUCUUUAGACCUUAAUCUCCAUAUAGGAUGUGACUCCUGUGUUUAAACAUGGAAAAAACUGGGCCAGGCAUUUUUCUCCGCAUCUGUGGCAGAGACCACUAAAAGGCCCCUAAUAAAUGUCUCCUUUUCUUCUAGAACAACAAGAAACUCCAGGGUCCCCAAACCAUUGGGAAAUAGGGCUAUAAAAUCUGUGUGGUCCCAAAAUACAACACUAAUGUCUAUUAAAUAUGGCCAUGAGGAUACUAGAUAAGGAAGAGUUUCCCCAAGGGAAGAGCCAAGGGUCAUGAAGGUCAGAGGACAGGGACACUUCUCCUAGAAAGCAGGACCAACUCACCUGACAGACAAAAAUGUCUGUCCAAUUCUUGAACUUUGAAUAGUAUCUAGAGGUCAUCUCCCUUGUGCCUAGGCACAUGGUCCUCCAUAUAAAUGCUAAUCUUCCCAACCUCCUUUAUAGCAAAGUAUGGCAUGUAACUGAGUUCUGUCCAAUAGGAUGUGAAU